GCUCAUCUCAAUGGCAGACGCUGCUGCAAGCAGCACCAAUUACACCUCUAUUACAGGGAGCCUGCCAUGCAGGGAGAACAGGAAAUGAGGCAGGAAGUGUGCUGUAGGCUACAGAAGAAGACAGCAGGGGAAGCGGACACAGACAGAGAGAGGAAUGUGCUUGUACGCCAGAAUACUGCUGUGUGCGAGCCCUGGUUUUAUACUGGAUAUCAAGUGGUGACCCAAAACAGUACCAGAAUAGAACUGACAUGAAGUGUGGACACAGCUGUGGGCAUAUCAGACACCCCCUAGACCAUCAGGUGCCUGCAUCUGACACCUCUGCCAUCUCUGCACCAGCUCAUCCACAAAGUCCUUCUUGUUUCCCUCUGUUCCUUGUAAGAGAUCUCCAACAUACUCCACAAUUUCAUCAGC